rnacentral:rRNA from 1 species
CCUACGGGAGGCUGCAGUGAGGAAUAUUGGUCAAUGGGCGUAAGCCUGAACCAGCCAAGUCGCGUGAGGGAUGAAGGUUCUAUGGAUCGUAAACCUCUGUUAUAAGGGAAUAAAGUGUGGGACGUGUCCUAUUUUGUAUGUACCUUAUGAAUAAGGAUCGGCUAACUACGUGCCAGCAGCCGCGGUAAUACGGAGGAUCCGAGCGUUAUCCGGAUUUAUUGGGUUUAAGGGGUGCGUAGGCGGCCUUUUAAGUCCGGGGUGAAAGUCUGUGGCUCAACCAUAGAAUUGCCGUUGAAACUGGGGGGCUUGAGUAUGUUUGGGGCAGGCGGAAUGCGCGGUGUAGCGGUGAAAUGCUUAGAUAUCACGCAGAACACCGAUGGCGAAGGCAGGUUCCCAGGCCAUGACUGACGCUGAUGCACGAAGGCCUGGGGAUCAAACGGGAUUAGAUACCCGGGUAGUC